rnacentral:lncRNA from 10 species
CACCGCACCCGGCCGUGACCAUCUUUAUUUGAAUAGCUCAGGGUCUCUUUUCCAGAUCUAGAGACAGCAGAACAAAUUCAAGAAGGGUUCAUUUCUGCCUUUCCUAUUAACUGCAGGAGAGAGACUGCAGGGCACCACUAGGGGUCAGUGCAGAGCCAUCAUCACAGGAGCCUUUACUGUGCCUUACAGUAAGCAUGUCUUGAUGUAAGAUAAUUGGUUAUGCAACAAUCCAUAUUAAUAAAGAUUCUAUAUGCUACAUUAGAGAUCUAUUCACAUGACUAGCCAUGUUCCCUUUAAGAGCAGACUCCCUUAGUACAGAUUUCUCAGAUUAUAAAUAAGAUUCCUCCAAAUUAAUUUCCAAAACAGAGCUAUUUUAUAAACACCAAGGUCUAUCAGUGUAAGACCUGUUCUUUCCUGCUUGGUAUGAGAUCAUUUGUGCAUAAAAUACUUGGCCAAAGUGUUUUAUAGGUUUGUUGGGAAAAUCAAAUAAAUAACAUGUAAACGUAUCUUACAAAUUAUGAAGCCACAUAUAAACGUAAAUUUGCUCUUUUUUAAUGAUAAGCAAUUCAGAUAUUUGGGCAAGUGGCAUGACCAUGGAUUAUUUCACUGGUUUUCUUCCUCGUAGCCCUUGCUCUCCAGCUAUUGACAUCAGUGUGGAGUCAGUAAUUCUUUUCUUAGAAGCUGAAGUUAUCAUUUACAGUAAAUUUGGUUUUAGUUCUUUGUCAUCCUUAUUUACCUGAAGCUCCUUCAGGAAAAUUACUCUGAGCUCAGAAUCAUUUGGCAUCAGAGAUGAAAAG